AAGUCGUAACAAGGUUUCCGUAGGUGAACCUGCGGAAGGAUCAUUACACAUUCGGGGCGCUUCGGCGCUCCUUAUACACCCACCCUCUGCCUACGUGUACCUCUAUAGCUUCCUCGGCGGGCUCGCCCGCCGCCAGGAACCCACGAAACCCCCUGCAUUAUACGCGAAAACUUCUGAUAACAAACCUAAAUUAUCACAACUUUCAACAGUGGAUCUCUUGGUUCUGGCAUCGAUGAAGAACGCAGCGAAAUGCGAUAAGUAGUGUGAAUUGCAGAAUUCAGUGAAUCAUCGAAUCUUUGAACGCACAUUGCGGCCAUAGGUAUUCCUUUGGCCAUGCCUGUUCGAGCGUCAUUUACACCCUCAAGCCUAGCUUGGUGUUGGGCGUCUGUCCCGCCGUUCUCGCGCGCGGACUCGCCUCAAAGUCAUUGGCGGCGGUCGUGCCGGCCCCCUCGCGCAGCACAUUUGCGCUUCUCGGAGGCCCGGCGGAUCCGCGCUCCAGCAAGACCUUUCACGACUUGACCUCGGAUCAGGUAGGGAUACCCGCUGAACUUAAGCAUAUCAAUAAGCGGAGGAAAAGAAACCAACAGGGAUUGCCCUAGUAACGGCGAGUGAAGCGGCAACAGCUCAAAUUUGAAAUCUGGCCCCUUUGGGGUCCGAGUUGUAAUUUGCAGAGGGUGCUUUGGCGUUGGCGGCGGUCUAAGUUCCUUGGAACAGGACAUCGCAGAGGGUGAGAAUCCCGUAUGUGGUCGCAUGCCUUCGCCGUGUAAAGCCCCUUCGACGAGUCGAGUUGUUUGGGAAUGCAGCUCUAAAUGGGAGGUAAAUUUCUUCUAAAGCUAAAUACCGGCCAGAGACCGAUAGCGCACAAGUAGAGUGAUCGAAAGAUGAAAAGCACUUUGGAAAGAGAGUCAAACAGCACGUGAAAUUGUUGAAAGGGAAGCGCUUGCAGCCAGACUUGCCUGUAGUUGCUCACCCGGGCUCCUGCCCGGGGCACUCUUCUGCAGGCAGGCCAGCAUCAGUUUGGGCGGUCGGAUAAAGGGCUCUGACACGUACUUCCCCUCGGGGUUGACAUACAGGGGAGCCGCAAUGCGACCAGCCCGGACUGAGGUCCGCGCAUCUGCUAGGAUGCUGGCGUAAUGGCUGUAAGCGGCC
rnacentral:rRNA from 1 species